rnacentral:rRNA from 1 species
GAGACACACGGCGGGUGCUAACGUCCGUCGUGAAGAGGGAAACAACCCAGACCGCCAGCUAAGGUCCCAAAGUCAUGGUUAAGUGGGAAACGAUGUGGGAAGGCCCAGACAGCCAGGAUGUUGGCUUAGAAGCAGCCAUCAUUUAAAGAAAGCGUAAUAGCUCACUGGUCGAGUCGGCCUGCGCGGAAGAUGUAACGGGGCUAAACCAUGCACCGAAGCUGCGGCAGCGACGCUUAUGCGUUGUUGGGUAGGGGAGCGUUCUGUAAGCCUGCGAAGGUGUGCUGUGAGGCAUGCUGGAGGUAUCAGAAGUGCGAAUGCUGACAUAAGUAACGAUAAAGCGGGUGAAAAGCCCGCUCGCCGGAAGACCAAGGGUUCCUGUCCAACGUUAAUCGGGGCAGGGUGAGUCGACCCCUAAGGCGAGGCCGAAAGGCGUAGUCGAUGGGAAACAGGUUAAUAUUCCUGUACUUGGUGUUACUGCGAAGGGGGGACGGAGAAGGCUAUGUUGGCCGGGCGACGGUUGUCCCGGUUUAAGCGUGUAGGCUGGUUUUCCAGGCAAAUCCGGAAAAUCAAGGCUGAGGCGUGAUGACGAGGCACUACGGUGCUGAAGCAACAAAUGCCCUGCUUCCAGGAAAAGCCUCUAAGCAUCAGGUAACAUCAAAUCGUACCCCAAACCGACACAGGUGGUCAGGUAGAGAAUACCAAGGCGCUUGAGAGAACUCGGGUGAAGGAACUAGGCAAAAUGGUGCCGUAACUUCGGGAGAAGGCACGCUGAUAUGUAGGUGAAGCGACUUGCUCGUGGAGCUGAAAUCAGUCGAAGAUACCAGCUGGCUGCAACUGUUUAUUAAAAACACAGCACUGUGCAAACACGAAAGUGGACGUAUACGGUGUGACGCCUGCCCGGUGCCGGAAGGUUAAUUGAUGGGGUCAGCGCAAGCGAAGCUCUUGAUCGAAGCCCCGGUAAACGGCGGCCGUAACUAUAACGGUCCUAAGGUAGCGAAAUUCCUUGUCGGGUAAGUUCCGACCUGCACGAAUGGCGUAAUGAUGGCCAGGCUGUCUCCACCCGAGACUCAGUGAAAUUGAACUCGCUGUGAAGAUGCAGUGUACCCGCGGCAAGACGGAAAGACCCCGUGAACCUUUACUAUAGCUUGACACUGAACAUUGAGCCUUGAUGUGUAGGAUAGGUGGGAGGCUUUGAAGUGUGGACGCCAGUCUGCAUGGAGCCGACCUUGAAAUACCACCCUUUAAUGUUUGAUGUUCUAACGUUGACCCGUGAUCCGGGUUGCGGACAGUGUCUGGUGGGUAGUUUGACUGGGGCGGUCUCCUCCUAAAGAGUAACGGAGGAGCACGAAGGUUGGCUAAUCCUGGUCGGACAUCAGGAGGUUAGUGCAAUGGCAUAAGCCAGCUUGACUGCGAGCGUGACGGCGCGAGCAGGUGCGAAAG